rnacentral:rRNA from 1 species
CUCGCCUACAUGAAGCUGGAGUUGCUAGUAAUCGCGAAUCAGCAUGUCGCGGUGAAUACGUUCCCGGGCCUUGUACACACCGCCCGUCACACCAUGAGAGUUGGCAAUACCCAACGUACGUGAUCUAACCCGCAAGGGAGGAAGCGUCCUAAGGUAGGGUCAGCGAUUGGGGUGAAGUCGUAACAAGGUACC